rnacentral:rRNA from 1 species
CCCUUAGAUGUCCGGGGCCGCACGCGCGCUACACUGAAGGAAUCAGCGUGGCUUUCUCCCUGACCCGAAAGGGUUGGGAAACCCGUUGAAUCUCCUUCGUGAUAGGGAUUGGGGCUUGAAAUUGUUCCCCAUGAACGAGGAAUUCCCAGUAAGCCCGAGUCAUAAGCUCGCGUUGAUUACGUCCCUGCCCUUUGUACACACCGCCCGUCGCUACUACCGAUUGAACGGUUUAGUGAGGGCCUCGGAUUGGUCUCGGCCCGCUCUUUACCGGGCGGCGCCGUUGGUCGAGAAGACGCUCGAACUUGAUCGUUUAGAGGAAGUAAAAGUCGUAACA